AUACGAAGGGUGCAAGCGUUAAUCGGAAUUACUGGGCGUAAAGCGCGCGUAGGUGGUUUUGUAAGUUGGAGGUGAAAGCCCCGGGCUCAACCUGGGAAUCGCCUCCAAAACUGCAUGACUAGAGUACGGUAGAGGGUAGUGGAAUUUCCUGUGUAGCGGUGAAAUGCGUAGAUAUAGGAAGGAACACCAGUGGCGAAGACGACUACCGGGACUGAUACUGACACUGAGGUGCGAAAGCGUGGGGAGCAAACAGGAUUAGAUCCCCUGGUAGUCCACGCCGUAAACGAUGUCAACUAGCCGUUGGGAUCCUUGAGAUCUUAGUGGCGCAGCUAACGCAUUAAGUUGACCGCCUGGGGAGUACGGCCGCAAGGUUAAAACUCAAAUGAAUUGACGGGG
rnacentral:rRNA from 1 species